rnacentral:rRNA from 1 species
GACGAACGCUGGCGGCGUGCUUAACACAUGCAAGUCGAACGGAGUGGCGAACGGAUUGGUGACCCGUUGGUUACCUGCCCUGCAAUCCGGGCUAAGCCUGGGAAUCUGGGUCUAAUACCGGUUCGUGUGGGAUGGGCGCGUGGCCUAUCGGGUUGUUGGGGGGGUAAGGGCCUACCAAGGUGGCGAGGGGUAGCCGGCCUUGGAGGGUGGACGGCCACAUUGCGACUGAGGGACGGACCAGAAUCCAACGGGAGGCAGCAGGGGGGAGUAUGGCGCAACGGGCGGAAGCCUGAGGCAGCGACGCCGCGUGGGUGAUGACGGCCUUCGAGUUGUAAACUCCUUUCACCAUAGACGCGGUAGAUGGAGAAGAAGCACCGGCUAACUACGUGCCAGCAGCCGCGGUAAUAC